UUGUGGCAUCUCUACAAGGAAUCGAUGACAACACUUGAAGCUGUUAAGUCAGCCAAGCUGAAGAAGCAAGAGCAGCAUCUCCUGCUUGUUCAGAGUGAGCGGUCUGUCUACCAGAAGAUGUUUGCUGACUACAAGACCACCUGUCAAAACCUGCAGUUGUCUCUAAGGGGCCCUACUGAACCAGCAAGCAAAGACAAUAGGAUGCCUUGCAGCUUUGAUUUUGCUCAACAAGUAAGCAACAUUUCCUCCUUUAUACUGAUGACAGACAGACGGACAGACAGCGGGGCAAACAGACACACAGGAUUAUGGGAAGCAGGCAAAUGCCUUUCACUGAGCUUUGUAAAGACGGAUCGCAGUUGUAACUGAGAACUUACUCUCAACUGGC